UAAUACGUAGGUGGCAAGCGUUGUCCGGAUUUACUGGGCGUAAAGAGCGCGCAGGCGGUCGUUCAAGUCGCGUGUGAAAGCCCCCGGCUCAACUGGGGAGGGUCACGCGAUACUGAUCGACUCGAAGGCAGGAGAGGGUAGUGGAAUUCCCGGUGUAGUGGUGAAAUGCGUAGAUAUCGGGAGGAACACCAGUGGCGAAGGCGACUACCUGGCCUGUUCUUGACGCUGAGGCGCGAAAGCUAGGGGAGCAAACGGG
rnacentral:rRNA from 1 species